UACGUAGGGUGCAAGCGUUGUCCGGAAUUAUUGGGCGUAAAGAGCUCGUAGGCGGCCUGUCGCGUCGGAUGUGAAAGCCCGGGGCUUAACCCCGGGUCUGCAUUCGAUACGGGCAGGCUAGAGUGUGGUAGGGGAGAUCGGAAUUCCUGGUGUAGCGGUGAAAUGCGCAGAUAUCAGGAGGAACACCGGUGGCGAAGGCGGAUCUCUGGGCCAUUACUGACGCUGAGGAGCGAAAGCGUGGGGAGCGAACAGG
rnacentral:rRNA from 1 species